AUACGAAGGGAGCUAGCGUUGUUCGGAAUUACUGGGCGUAAAGCGCACGUAGGCGGACUUGUUAGUCAGGGGUGAAAUCCCGGGGCCCAACCUCGGAACUGCCUUUGAUACUGCAAGUCUGGAGUCCGGAAGAGGUGGGUGGAAUUCCUAGUGUAGAGGUGAAAUUCGUAGAUAUUAGGAAGAACACCGGUGGCGAAGGCGGCCCACUGGUCCGGUACUGACGCUGAGGUGCGAAAGCGUGGGGAGCAAACAGGAUUAGAUACCCCGGUAGUCC
rnacentral:rRNA from 1 species